rnacentral:lncRNA from 1 species
UAGAAGUCAGGUCGGAUUAAGCCAUAGUACGGAAAAAACUAUGCUACCUGUGAGCCCCGUCCAAGGACGUUAAAAGAAGUCAGGCCAUCAUAAAUGCCAUAGCUUGAGUAAACUAUGCUGCCUGUAGCUCCACCUGAGAAGGUGUAAAAAAUCUGGGAGGCCACAAACCAUGGAAGCUGUACGCAUGGCGUAGUGGACUAGCGGUUAGAGGAGACCCCUCCCUUACAAAUCGCAGCAACAAUGGGGGCCCAAGGCGAGAUGAAGCUGUAAUCUCGCUGGAAGGACUAGAGGUUAGAGGAGACCCCCCCGAAACAAAAAACAGCAUAUGACGC